UCUUCGCAGGAAAUAUAAGCGCUGCUGAACUUUGGAGCAAACACGCUCAACAUGAGCAGUUCAGCACACGUUACUGUCUAUGUGUACUCCUCUAAGUAUUAACCAGACAUGAAUACACCUGAGUGAUAAAUUCAUUGUGGAUGACUACGUUGUGGAUGACUGACCACAACACCUCAGUGGGUUCAGUCUAUCACUACAAGAGACUGACCACACUUUCAGGAAUCAAUCUUUGGUCUUCUGCAAAUCAGGGGCUCACUGCUGGACACUGGAAUAAUUUUCAAUAUUUUCAGCUGCCUCCCUGUUCAUUCCCUGUAAGUGAGUGGGAUUGUGAAAGUAUUGAUCUCUGACCACCCCUGUCAUUUCCUCAGCCAGCAGGAGCUGCUGAGCUGAAGAAGCCCCAGGCGCUGCCCCUGUCACUGUGUGAAGAACAGACUGCACUCUGCUGCUGGAAUCAUGACAGCUCCUCCAACCCUGGGUCUCCUGCUCUCUCUGGCUGCCUUGACUUGUACUUUAUUUCAUUAGAGCAGUGCAGUUAUAUUUUAAUUAGUAUUAGACUGUUUGGCUUGUUCACAGUGGUGCACUGCAAUUGGAAAAUUGAAAAUAACCAUCUUAGAAUCAAGCCUGACCACAGCAACGAAAACGGAGAUGUAAAACUUUGAGUUUUGUUUCUGUUUUUCCAUUUGGGAUUUUUUUUUCCCAGGGCAACACUUUUUCAAUGGUAAACUCAUGUAACUACAAAAACGUUUCAACUAUGCAAUGUGGCACCUGUCUGUUACUAUAUUCAGUAUUUCUUUACAUUUCAGGAUUUUCUGUGUUUUUUGUUUUCUGUGUCUACUACACCACUCGGAGUGACUAAUUUCGCCUUCCUUGCAGAUGUUCAGUCCAGUGUCGAGCUCAUGCAGUCUGAAUCUACAGAGGUCACACCAGGAUAGUCUCCCUCAUUAAAAUCUGCCACUGCUGGGAUACGUGUUGAUGACUCUGAUAGGUUUCCCCAAAAAUCCUGGACAGAGUGGACAGUUUGGACAAUUUGGAUUUGCUCCUCCUUCUGCUGUAUCUGCACCUCAGAUGAUAAAGGAUAAUUCACAGCCUUCGACAGACAGCGGGAUGUUCCCUCUGGAUAUGAGCAGCCUGAGAGCUGAAGACACUCAUGUUUAUUACGAAGGGAGAGACGCAGAGCAGCAGGUGAUUUCUAACAUGAGGAAAAUAUCUAGAGAGCGGGCACAGGAUGGUUUUGUUCCCCAACAACAUCUGUACUGAAAACUAGAAGUUCUUUGACAGAUUUCAAGAAUAAUGAGCAGGUAAAUGAUUUCUUUCAAUCCAUCAUUUUAGAUUUGGCAGUUCGAUUCUCAUGCAAUUUAGUCAUAUAAGUAACAUUAGAAAGAUAUUAAUGUGUUAAGAAACAGCUGUACAUUUUCUCAAUCUGUAGGGCAGGUACAGUCAGCCACACCUAUAUAAGACAGGGACAGACAACCUUGACACUUUUAUUCCUGUACAUUACUGAACCUUCCAGUAAGUUAUUUAUUAAUUUAAGGUCACUUAUUAAGGAUUCGUUUAUUAAGGAUUCUUGAAUACAACACCUAAUCAAUAAAAAGUGCUUUACAAAUUUAAAUUACAAUAUACACUGACAGUUUACAACUAUCUUCCUUUGCCUUGUGCCAUGUUUUACUAUAACUCCCAAUACAUGACACGCAUAGGAAGGUUUUUGUCAGGGAGCAUAUCAAUGUGAUUAUUAUAGUAGUUAUGGUUACCACAGUG